AUGGCCAAACAAAAUGGAUUCGUCAUCAGUCAGUCAUUUGAGUCCAUUCCCGGAUUAAGAUUCAAAAAAUCCAGACACAGUGACGAAAAGAUGUAUUCGGAGAAUGAGUGCUCAAAUAAGUAUAUUUAGUACAAUGGAAAAUAUAUUUCUGAAGCAACUAGGUUCAGGUAUAGUGAAAAUUCUCUCCUUGGAUAACAAUAUUCUUUCUUCUAUUUAUUUGAUGUCUAUACUAUUAUUAUGAUCACAAAAUAUUUCAUUUAAAUUUAAGAUUUUGAUUCUAUGUACUUGAAACAUCAACUAUGAAAAUAUUCUAUACCUAAAUAACACUUUAUUGAAAAAUAUAUGUAUACUGAAAAUGAAAAAAUACAUUUUGAGAUGAAAAUAUUGAAUAGACAAUUGAAGAAGAAUAUGUUACAAUAAACACAAAAUUAUUCUUAUCUAUCAUAUUUCACUCGUAAGAUAAUAACAAAUUCACUAGAUUUCAUCAUAGCUACUCGCUUGAUAGUUACCUCAACUGAUUGUUGAUGUUACGAAAUGAAAGAAGAGGAAAUAUUUAUCUCUAAAAAAUAUAUAAAAGACAGUCCCACUAAAUUAGGCGAAAAAGCUCUUGAAAAAUGAGUCGCUUACAGUUUGCGCUUUUCUUCGUUCUCUUUCUGAGCGUUUGCUUGUAUUGUGAUGCAACAGCUGAGGCAAAUCCAAGGAAGAAUACUUGGCGAAAUAUCAAGCGAGCUGGAAGAGUUGGUCACAGCCUUGCUAAUUGGGUACCAAUAGUUCAUGCAUGGGCAACAGGUUAACAAAGCUCGUUGAGCAGAUGUAUAGAGAAUGGAUACUCGUUCAAAACUUCGUAGAUUACAACUUGAUUAGAAUACAUAAUAGUGGAAAUGAUCAUUAACAAAUUUAUUGUAAACCACCCACCCACAAAUAAGGCAUAUAAUGAUUUUUUAAUAUAUUUUAAAAAGUAGAGAUUUAAGAGUUGAUUUGAUUAAAUUUAUUAUUUCUCCAUAAAUAUUGAAUAUAAUUGAAAUU